UACGCAAGGGGCUAGCGUUGGUCGGAAUUACGGGGCGUAAAGCGCACGAAGGCGGCCUUGUAAGUUGGGGGUGAAAUCCCGGGGCUCAACUCCGGAACUGCCUUCAAGACUGCAAAGCUAGAGGACGCGCGAGGUUAGCGGAAUUCCGAGUGUAGAGGUGAAAUUCGUAGAUAUUCGGAAGAACACCAGUGGCGAAGGCGGCUAACUGGCGCGUUUCUGACGCUGAGGUGCGAAAGCGUGGGGAGCAAACAGG
rnacentral:rRNA from 1 species